UACGUAGGGCGCAAGCGUUAUCCGGAAUUAUUGGGCGUAAAGAGCUCGUAGGCGGUUUGUCGCGUCUGCCGUGAAAGUCCGGGGCUCAACUCCGGAUCUGCGGUGGGUACGGGCAGACUAGAGUGAUGUAGGGGAGACUGGAAUUCCUGGUGUAGCGGUGGAAUGCGCAGAUAUCAGGAGGAACACCGGUGGCGAAGGCGGCAUCCUGGACCAUUACUGACGCUGAGGAGCGAAAGCCAGGGGAGCAAACGGG
rnacentral:rRNA from 1 species